rnacentral:lncRNA from 1 species
GUCUCCCCUGGGGCCUGCGCAGCAACCGUCCUCCCCAUCCGCCGGGGCCUCUCGAUCCCGCCAACUAGUCCCUGCGCCAAGGCCAAGUCUGCUUUUCUCCUGAACUUUCCCAGGAUUCUAACCUAGGGUGGGAUUCCUCGGCCGGGCUCCCGGACACCCGCUGCGGAAGAUGGGUGGGGGAGAGGGCGUGACCACUAGAGCCAGGGGCCGGGAGCCAGCGGCUCUGGACCCCAGCUGGACCGAGAGAGCCUGCGAGCACGAGUGCUGUCAGCCGUAACUCCUAUGGCGGUGAGCCCUGGUUUAGCUGCCCACAGCCAAGGCACAUCCAGGAACCCCAGAAGUCCAGGCAUGACAGAGAUGAAAGAUUUGCAGGCUAUGUACAUCAUCUGACACCUGUCCCCCACCCCCACCCCGUAUCGCAACGCCUAAAAUAAAAAUGUCACAACGCAUUUACAAGAAAUAAUACAAAACAAAACAAAAAAUGGAAAUGCUCGGAUACAGAGUUUUACAAAACCCAGAAUAUAUCUCCACUGUCUGAGAGGGGAAUCACGGUAUAAAUGAACCAAGGAACCCAAAAGAGCGGUAACAACUACAAAAAAAAAACCCAAAAAACAAAACAAAACAAAACAAAAACAAAAAACAAACUUGUAAAUGUUUGGAUCUGCCUUACUACAUUUAUAACAAGUGAGAACAGCUCGAGGUCCGUCACUCGGCCUCAGGCAGAAGAGCCAGCGGCGGGAAGCAAACCCCGGAGAAAGUUACAGUGCCGGCAGUCAUACAAAAGUUGGCAUCGCUUCCCUGGGUUUUGUCUUUUGUCCUUCCGAGCCGAGAAAACGUUGUGUGCCUCCUCUGCGGAUGAUAAAUACUGUACAAAAGGUUUCGUGAAAACACCAAAGUUCAGUCUAAGAUGCCAGUCUGGUGUCAGCGCCUCGGAGUCCCGGGAAAGGUGAGAGAGGGCAGACGUCACCUGGUGCUCGGUUCUCCAGAGCGGUCUUUUUACAAGAACGUGGAGACGUUUGUACAAAGUCGAGCCCUGAAGGCUCCCGCGCCAGGUCUCGCGCUCUUCGUCGCCGGGUCGGCGGCCUCGAGCCACAGAGUCCCCGGCGUCCCCGCGGCGCUAGAUAUGCGUCAGGGGCACCGUACCGUUGACGCCCGCGCCCGCUCCCUGGUAGUGCUGUGGCAGAGAGUGCAGCCGGCUUUGGGCCGCGGCAGCCGCUGCCGCCGCCGGGUCGCCACCCUCGCCGGCGGGCAGAUACAUGCUUAUCAUCUCACGGAGGUCCCCGGGACACGGCGCCCGCGAGUGCGCGGGGGCCGGCGGACUGCCGCUGGGCUCAGACUUGACCAGCGAGCCGAGGGCGCCUAGAGCACCCGAGGAUGCUGCCGCCGCAGCUGCCGCGGCCGCCACAGCCGAGUUCUGGUGCGCGCCGCCAGCAGCGGCGGCGGCGGCUGCUGCGGCGCCAUAGGGGAUGCCGCCGUAGCCCGAAGGCGACGCGCUCAUGUAGCCCUGAGAGUUGGAGAUGGGGCUGUACUGCAGUGCGCCCAUGUCGUAGCGGUGCAUGGGCUGCGGGUUGUGAGGAUGCGCGUGCGGAUGGUGCGGGUGCGGAUGCGCCGGGUGCGCGUGCGGGUGCGCGCCGCCCGCGCCUGGGUGCUGCCCGUAGGCUAGCUGUGCCUCCUGCAUCAUGGCUGCGGCAGCAGCCGCUGCGGCUACCGAGCCGGGGUAGGCGCCGUUUGCCCAGCCGUUGACGUGCGCGUAGCCACCUCCCGCCGCGCCGCCCGGGCUCUCCAGGCGCUGGCCCACCGCCGCCGCCCCGACGCCCACGCCCACGCCCAUGGCCACGGCCGCACCACCGCCACCUGCGCCGGCCGCCAGCAGCCCACCGGCCAGCGAAUACUUGUCCUUCUUGAGCAACGUCUUGGUCUUACGGCGCGGCCGGUACUUGUAAUCCGGGUGCUCCUUCAUGUGCAACGCUCGCAGUCGCUUGGCCUCGUCGAUGAACGGCCGCUUCUCGGCCUCGGACAUGACCUUCCACUCGGCCCCCAGGCGCUUGCUGAUUUCCGAGUUGUGCAUCUUGGGGUUCUCCUGGGCCAUCUUGCGUCUCUGUCCGCGGGACCACACCAUGAAGGCAUUCAUGGGCCGCUUGACCCGAUCCUGG